UACGAAGGGGGCUAGCGUUGCUCGGAAUCACUGGGCGUAAAGGGUGCGUAGGCGGGUUAUUAAGUCAGGGGUGAAAUCCCGAGGCUCAACCUCGGAACUGCCUUUGAUACUGGGGAUCUCGAGUCCGGGAGAGGUGAGUGGAACUGCGAGUGUAGAGGUGAAAUUCGUAGAUAUUCGCAAGAACACCAGUGGCGAAGGCGGCUCACUGGCCCGGAACUGACGCUGAGGUGCGAAAGCGUGGGGAGCAAACAGG
rnacentral:rRNA from 1 species